rnacentral:tRNA from 1 species
GGAGAGGUGUCCGAGUGGCUUAAGGAGCACGCCUGGAAAGUGUGUGUACGUUAAUCCGUACCGAGGGUUCGAAUCCCUCCCUCUCCGCCA